UACGAAGGGGGCUAGCGUUGCUCGGAAUUACUGGGCGUAAAGCGCACGUAGGCGGAUUGUUAAGUCGGGGGUGAAAUCCUGGAGCUCAACUCCAGAACUGCCUUCGAUACUGGCGAUCUCGAGUUCGGGAGAGGUGAGUGGAAUUCCGAGUGUAGAGGUGAAAUUCGUAGAUAUUCGGAAGAACACCAGUGGCGAAGGCGGCUCACUGGACUGGUAUUGACGCUGAGGUGCGAAAGCGUGGGGAGCAAACAGG
rnacentral:rRNA from 1 species